rnacentral:rRNA from 1 species
UUUAUUGAGAGUUUGAUCCUGGCUCAGGAUGAACGUUGGCGGCGUGACUAAGGCAUGCAAGUCGAGGGAAGUGUUCGCUUCGGCGAAAUUACUACCGGCAAACGGGUGAGUAACACAUUGGUAACCUACCUGCGAAUCGAGCAUAGCCCGGAGAAAUCCGGAUUAAUACUCGAUAGUCAUGGGGGGUCUUCGGACAUUCCCAUGUAAAGAUUUAUCGUUCGCAGAGGGGCCUAUGUCCUAUCAGCUUGUUGGUGAGGUAAAAGCUCACCAAGGCUAUGACGGGUACCGGGCGUGAGAGCGUGAUCCGGCUCACUGGGACUGAGACACUGCCCAGACUCCUACGGGAGGCUGCAGUCAUGAAUAUUCCACAAUGCACGAAAGUGUGAUGGAGCGACGCCGCGUG